rnacentral:rRNA from 1 species
AGUGAACGCUGGCGGUAGGCCUAACACAUGCAAGUCGAACGGCAGCACAGUAAGAGCUUGCUCUUACGGGUGGCGGGUGGCGGACGGGUGAGGAAUACAUCGGAAUCUACUUUCUCGUGGGGGAUAACGUAGGGAAACUUACGCUAAUACCGCAUACGACCUACGGGUGAAAGCAGGGGAUCUUCGGACCUUGCGCGAUUGAAUGAGCCGAUGUCGGAUUAGCUAGUUGGCGGGGUAAAGGCCCACCAAGGCGACGAUCCGUAGCUGGUCUGAGAGGAUGAUCAGCCACACUGGAACUGAGACACGGUCCAGACUCCUACGGGAGGCAGCAGUGGGGAAUAUUGGACAAUGGGCGCAAGCCUGAUCCAGCCAUACCGCGUGGGUGAAGAAGGCCUUCGGGUUGUAAAGCCCUUUUGUUGGGAAAGAAAAGCAGCAGGUUAAUACCCCGCUGUUCUGACGGUACCCAAAGAAUAAGCACCGGCUAACUUCGUG